CCCUUAGAUGUCCCGGGCCGCACGCGCGCUACACUGAUGAAGGCAGCGAGUCCACCUUGGUCGGAAGGCCCGGGUAAUCUUGUGAAACUUCAUCGUGAUGGGGAUAGAUCAUUGCAAUUAUUGAUCUUCAACGAGGAAUUCCUAGUAAGCGCAAGUCAUCAGCUUGCGUUGAUUACGUCCCUGCCCUUUGUACACACCGCCCGUCGCUCCUACCGAUUGUGUGCACAGGUGAGGACUAGGGAGCCCCGAUGUAGGGUAGUUUCUACCCCACUUUGGGACGAACUUGUCCAAAUCUUUUCACAUAGAGGAAGGAGAAGUCGUAACA
rnacentral:rRNA from 1 species